GAUGAACGCUAGCGGCAGGCUUAAUACAUGCAAGUCGAGGGACAGCACAGGUAGCAAUACUGGGUGGUAACCGGCAAACGGGUGCGGAACACGUACACAACCUUCCUUUAAGUGGGGGAUAGCCCAGAGAAAUUUGGAUUAAUACCCCGUAAUAUAGUUGAAUGGCAUCAUUUGAUUAUUAUAGCUACGGCGCUCAAUGAUGGGUGUGCGGCUGAUUAGAUAGUUGGCGGGGUAACGGCCCACCAAGUCUACGAUCAGUAGCUGAUGUGAGGACAUGAUCAGCCACGCGGGCACGUAGACACGGGCCCGACUCCUACGGGAGGCAGCAGUAAGGAAUAUUGGUCAAUGGACGAAAGUCUGAACCAGCCAUGCCGCGUGAAGGAUUAAGGUCCUCUGGAUUGUAAACUUCUUUUAUUUGGGACGAAAAAGGGCCUUUCUAGGUCAACUGACGGUACCAGAUGAAUAAGCACCGGCUAACUCCGUGCCAGCCGCCGCGGUAACAC
rnacentral:rRNA from 1 species